rnacentral:rRNA from 1 species
CCGCGAACCCGGAACGGACGCCGCCGGAGCGGGCGGGCGCACGCCCGUCCCUCCGGCCCCCUCACGGGGACACAUCCCGGCGCGGCGCGCGCCAAGGAACGACCGUCGGAACAGGGCCCCGCCCUGCUCGAGAACACAACGUACGACUCUCGGCAACGGAUAUCUCGGCUCUCGCAUCGAUGAAGAACGUAGCGAAAUGCGAUACUUGGUGUGAAUUGCAGAAUCCCGCGAACCAUCGAGUCUUCGAACGCAAGUUGCGCCCGAGGCCGCCCGGCCGAGGGCACGCCUGCCUGGGCGUCACGCACCGCGACGCUCCGCGCCCCGCCGCGGGCGCCGGACGCGGAGAUCGGCCCCCCGCGCGCGAGCGCGGCGGGCCCAAGCACGGGCCGCCGGCGGGGACGGGCACGGCGAGAGGUGGACGGGAACGCGAGCCGGACGCCGUGGCACCCGGCCCCCAGCGGCGCAGGGCCCUCCGGAACCCCACAGGGCGCGCGAGCCCGCCCCCCCUCCCGGGGACGGGCGAGCCGCCUCGCACCGCGACCCCAGGUCAGGCGGGGCCACCCGCCGAGUUUAAGCAUAUCAAUAAGCGGAGGAGAAGAAACUUACGAGGAUUCCCCUAGUAACGGCGAGCGAACCGGGACGAGCCCAGCUUGAGAAUCGGGGGGCCGCGCCCCCCGAAUUGUAGUCUGGAGAGGCGUCCUCAGCGGCGGACCGGGCCCGAGUCCGCUGGAAGGCGGCGCC